rnacentral:rRNA from 1 species
AAUAUUGCACAAUGGGGGAAACCCUGAUGCAGCGACGCCGCGUGAGUGAAGAAGUAUUUCGGUCUGUAAAGCUCUAUCAGCAGGGAAGAAAAUGACGGUACCUGACUAAGAAGCCCCGGCUAAAUACGUGCCAGCAGCCGCGGUAAUACGUAGGGGGCAAGCGUUAUCCGGAUUGACUGGGUGUAAAGGGAGCGUAGUAGGCGAGUCAAGACAGAUGUGAAAGCCCGGGGCUCAACCCCGGGAUUGCAUUUGAAACUGGUUUGCUAGAGUGCAGGAGAGGUAAGUGGAAUUCCUAGUGUAGCGGUGAAAUGCGUAGAUAUUAGGAGGAACACCAGUGGCGAAGGCGGCUUACUGGACUGUAACUGUCACUGAGGCUCGAAAGCGUGGGGAGCAAACA